rnacentral:rRNA from 1 species
UACGGAGGGUGCGAGCGUUGUCCGGAAUCAUUGGGCGUAAAGGGCGCGUAGGUGGCCCGGUCAGUUCGUGGUGAAAGCGCGGGGCUCAACCCUGCGUCGGCCAUGAAUACUGCCGCGGCUGGAGCACUGUAGAGGCAGGCGGAAUUCCGGGUGUAGCGGUGGAAUGCGUAGAGAUCCGGAAGAACACCGGUGGCGAAGGCGGCCUGCUGGGCAGUGGCUGACGCUGAGGCGCGACAGCGUGGGGAGCAAACAG